rnacentral:rRNA from 1 species
AAACUUUCAACAACGGAUCUCUUGGUUCUGGCAUCGAUGAAGAACGCAGCGAAAUGCGAUAAGUAGUGUGAAUUGCAGAAUUCAGUGAAUCAUCGAAUCUUUGAACGCCAUGCGCCCUUGGUAUCC